rnacentral:rRNA from 1 species
AUGCAUUCUGAUAUUACGACCCCUACCACCAACACCAAGGCUACGGCCGAUGAGACCAAAUUUUGGACUCCCAGGAACUACAUCCUGGCAUCGCUCGGCGGGACACUCGCCGUCACCGCCAUCAUCAUCAUCGUCUCCGUCAUCCUCGGCCCCGCCCACAUCAGCUUCUCCAUCGUCCAUGCCUCAAGGAGCGAUCCCAGAAUCCCGUACCUAAAUCUCACCAUCACCGCCACGAACGGCAGCCGGAAGCGCGCGGCGGUGCGGUACCGGAGCGUCUUCGUCGACCUGAAGAACAGCACGAGCGCGGCCGGGCGGAACACGAUGCAUGCUAAGGUCUAUGCCGCGCCUCCAACGGACGACUACCUGCGGCCGGGCACGGCGCCAGCAAUCUUCAAUGCGUCGGUCGGCGUUCUGGCCACCGGCACGUCCGGGUUGUUCGUCAGCCGCCGGCUGAACGGGACAGGGUUCACGGUGGUGGUGUCGGCGUCGGUGCGGUUCCGAGUUGGCAGGCUCCGCACGAGGGUGUACGACAUCAAGGUCUCCUGCCCUCGCGUCUACUUCCCGGUAGAAGGGUCAUCCAACGUCACCGCGCCGCCAAUCAAUUGCACUGCUUAA